GCGGAUGUGGCGGAAUUGGCAGACGCGCUAGACUUAGGUUCUAGUGGGAGACCGUGGGGGUUCAAGUCCCUUCAUCCGCA
rnacentral:tRNA from 2 species